ACAAAAAACAAGAUUUACUUAUUUUAUUUGAAAGUCAGAGUUAUACAGAAAGAGAAGGAAAGGCAGGGUAGGAGGAAGGGUCUUCCAUCCACUGGUUCACUCCCCAGUUGGCCUUCACGGUCGGAGCUGCGCCAAUCCGAAGCCAGAAGCCAGGAGCUUCUUCCAGGUCUCCCACAUGGGUUCAGGGGCCCAAGGACUUGGGCCAUCUUCUAUUGCUUUCCUAGGCCAUAGCAGAGAGUGGGAUCGGCACUGGCACUGCAGGCAGUGGCUUUAACCGCUAUGCCACAGUGCCGGCCCCUCCUGACUAGUUCUUUGGAGAGUAGUAAGGAGUAACUCUAGAACCCAGAUUUUAACCUCGAAAUGUCAUUUUCUAUUAAAAUGAAUAAGACCUCCUUGGAGAAAUUGUAAGAAGUGUACAAUAUGAGAUGGAAACUCUUUGUUGGACCUGAAAGAAAGGAAGCUAUCAAAGAACACUAGGGAGGAGGGGGAUAGUGCAGCAUACUGGCGUAGUGGGUUAAGGCCUCUGCCUGUGACGCUGGCAUCCCGUAUGGGUGCUGGUUGUGUCUCGGCUGCUCCUCUUCCAAUCCAGCUCCCUGCUAAUGGCCUAGAAAAGCAGUAGAAGAUGGUCCAAGUGCUUGGGCCCCUGCACCCACAUGGUAGACCCAGAUGAGGCUCCAGGCUCUUAGUUUCAGAUUGGCACAACUGUUGCAGCCAGCUAGGGAGUGAACCAGUGGAUGGAAGAUUCUCUCUCUCUCUCUCCCCCUCUGUGUGUGUGUGUGUGUAACUCUGCCUUUCAGAUAAAUAAAAGUAAAUCUUUAAAUAAAGAAAGAAUACUGGGGUCAUUUCAAAAGGUUUUAGGAGUCAAUUUAAAGGUUUUUUCUUUUUUUUUGCUAAAGAUGGGAAACUUGGUAUAUCAAAAUAGUUACAAUGAAUUGAAACUCAUGUUAAAAUCUUUGAGUUUAAAAAUUGCACCCAAAUGCACACAAAUUUAACAGUAUGUUAGGAAACUCAUUAUUCUGAAAAUAGGUAAAUAAGAAGUAUGAAACAAUUAUACUGCGUUUUCCGUAGAAUCCAUACCUUAGGGUAACCUAAUAGUUGAUAUGGAAUUCUUUUUAAGAAGGACUACCAGGUAAUAAAAAUAUGGAAUAGGAGUUUUGUAACAUAAUCAUUUUGUUACCUCUGAUGAAAUAAUGAAUCUAGGGAAUGAUGACUAGUGUCUUCGCAGAUCAGUCUGGAAAAGUUGAAGUGGAUGGAUCUAGUUGACAAUUCAGGACUCCCCUUAUCAAUCACAAAGUACCACUGACCUCUGUAUCUGAAGGUUCUGCACCCAUAGACUCAACCAACUAUGGGUCAAAAAUACUAGAAGGAAACCACAUUUGUACUGAACACAGGCAGACGUUUUCUUGUCCUUAUCCUUGAUGAUACAGUGCAACAACUAUUUGCAUAGCAUGCACUUUGUGGUAAGUAUUAUAAGUAAUCUAGAAUGAUCUAAAGUACAUGGGAGAUGUACAAAGUUUAGAUGAAAAUACUAUGCCAUUUUAUAUAUGGGACUCGAGCAUCUACAGAUUUUGCUGUCCGUGGAAGGUCUGAAACCAAUCCCCCACAGAUUCUGAGAGACCACUAUAAUAGAUAGCCGGAUAUGACACACCUUCUGCUACAAAUCAACAGGAAGAGCUAACACUGGUAUUCUAGUACUCCAUUUUAACAAGUAAAAAGCUGAAAAAACUGAAAAAAAAUCUUAGAUCUCUAAGAGCAGGGAGGUUACACGGCAGACACACUUUCCUGAGACUGGAGAGAGAGAGGCAAACACAGAGAAUUACAGCUGUCAAAGCAGAAAUCCAGGAGUGGAAACCUCUAUUGGAUCCAGUGCCAGGAGAGGAAACCUGAUUUCUGACUGACAAAGACCUUGAGGUUCAGAGGGGAAAGUCCGUGAGAACAGCUCCUGGGUAUCCUGGUCAUCAGGGGUCCCCUACACUUUUGUGAGUUUUGUCUCCAGGUACUGUAUCAUAUUCUCACAGUGAAUGACAAAGAAAAACUCUCUCCUGUUUCUGGCAGAGGGAAAAGGAAAAUGGCCAUUUUGAAAUGUACCGUAACAUUCUCUGAGUAAGGUCUGCCUCCAGGACAAACAACUUAACCAGAAUUUUAUCUACUGUCAGAGCUUACCUGACCUUAAGAAAGGGAAGUACACAACUCCAGCCUAUUUCAAUCAUCCUGACACACUUAAGAGGCAUAGGGAGAACUGAGAAGCACUUGUGAAGUUCACAGCCCAGAGGCAGAGACUUGCAAGAAAACCAAGAUGUAAGAAUAUAGAAUAUUUUCUCUCCUUCAGGACUUUAUCACCACAUCACAAAAGACCAUUUAUAGCAGUUCUUUAUACCUAGUACAUCAUGACCAGCUAUAACAACAAUAACAAAAGUGACAAGGAACGCCAAAAAGGCAAAUACCCCCACAUCUUGAAUACACAUAGCAGGCAUCAGAACCAAACUCAGAUAUAGCAGGGAUGUUGGAUUUACCAGACUGAAAAUUUAACAUACUUGUGAUUAAUAUGCAAGGGACUCUAACAAAUAAAGUAGACGGCAUGAAGAACAGAUGACCAAUGUAAGUGGAGAGAUGGAAAUUCUGAGAAGGAAUAAAAAAAUAAAUGUGGGCGAUAAAAACACCAUAACAGAAAUGAAGAAUACCUUAGAAGGGCUAAUUUGUAGAUUGAACGUACUACUGAGGAAAGAAUCUCCAAGUUUGAGACUAUCUCAAUAGAAAUCUACAAAAUUGAAAAGCAAAGAGGGAAAAAGACCAGAGCCAGUGCAGGUGGGAAAAGGACAGAACAACCAAGAAGUGUGGAACAUGGACAAGAGGUAAAAAUAUGUGCAAUGGUAAUACAACCAGGAGAAGAAAGAAGAAGGCACAGGUAAAAUAAAUGAAACAAUGACUGAAAAUUUCCCCAACUAUUAUCCAACACCAAAUCACAUUCCAGGAAACUCACAGAAGACAAAGUAGGAUAAACGCCAGAAAAAGCUACACCCGAAAAUAGCACAUUCAAGCUACAGAAAAUGAAAGAGAAAGACAAGACUCUGAAAGAAGUUAGAGGAAUAAAUAAUCUUAUAUAGAGGAUCACAGAUAACACAUAUCCAAAUUCUCAGUAUCCACGCAAACAAGAGGAGAAUGUGUUAAGAGAAAAAUCCUCCAACCUGGAAAGAUACCAGGAAAAUAAUCCUUCAAAAAAUGAAGGAAAAACAUGAACUUUCUCAGGCAAACACAAAGAGAAUGUGUUGUCAGAAGACCUGCCUUUCAACAAACAGUAAAAAUUCUCUAGAGGCAAGGAAAAUGAUAUAGAUCUGAACCUUGAAUAUAUGUACAGAAUGCAAAAUUGAAGGAACAGUGAAGGUAAGACAAAACCUUUUAUUUUUAUUACUCCUUCUUUAUCUAACAGAUAUUUCUUCAAAAUAAUAAUACCAAGAACAUAUUUGAUUAUUCAUGCUUUCUACGUAUCAGCUUAUAUAUGCGUGUAUAUAUAGGAAAAGAAUAAAGCCAUUGACGCAAGGGAUAGGAAGGAGGAAUUAGAAUUAUUUUGCUAUUGUAAGAUGUCCACAUGAUCCAUGAAGUGAUAUGGUGCUCUUUAAAAGUGGACCUGAAGUAGUUGUAAAUGUAUAUUGCAAGCUUUAGGGAAGACUCUCUCUCUCUCUCUCUCUCUCUCUCUCUCUCUCUCUCUCAAACACACACACACACACACACACACACACACACAAGCUAACUGAUACACUAACAAAGCAAAGAAAAUAGACUAAUGUCAAAUGCUCAACUGAAACCUCUGGAUCACUUGGGUUCAAAUCAUGAGCCAGAAACCAUACAAUAAUUUAAAGAGGGAAAGCUUAACAUAAAGAUUUAUUUAGUAUCAAAGAACUGAGGACUGAGGGAGUAAAUUCUGAAGCACAGAGGAACGGGAGAGGUAAGGAGCAGCUAUGACCUCUGGGUCUCACAGGAAGUUCAGUUAAGGAAGGAUAAAAUCUAGAGUGGCCCUUCCUCCACCCAAGGUUGAGAGCCAGAUCUCAGAGAAGUUGCAUUUGUGGCUACUGGGUAGUGAAGGAGUUCACUGGGGUUGUAUGGACUGCAAGGGGAGAGCAGAGUGGUGAUGGGAAGACAUCUGCUGGGCACCUAUGAGAGUUACUGGACCAUUGGGCACGUGAGUUACCAGCUGUACUCCUGUCUCACAAGUUGUACCAUUUUUCACUAUAGGAACAAGCGGAGAAUACAGCAGAGCCAGAAAAGUCACGUUUCCACCAAGUCCCUCUGGUGCCCUCUACUGGCCAAGUUUAACGUCUUCCCAGUUGGCAAAAAAAUCUGGUCAUAGGGUCCAGCUCCAGUAUCAUACAUUGGAAGAAAAAGUCUGCUCAGAAUCAGGCGGGGCUAAGAACAUACCUCAUGUUCCCUGAAUACACCUGACUGGGAAGAUGGGACUAUCACUCUGGCUGGGGAUGGGAGAGGAAGGGAUUUUCCUCGCAUGGAGACAUUUGGGAUUGGAACUAGGAAGCCAUCCAGGUAGACAUGUGCUCUUAGCAUUGAACGGGGCUGGCAAAAUAAUUGCCUUAUAUAAGUUUAAGAGUGCCAAGCACUGACAACAGUGGCUAAGCUAUCCUAAGCAUUAUGAACCUGCUUGUUGUUUCUGUUUUGUGUUAAUGAUCUCUGCAUCAUCAAACCUGGAGCAGGCACUACUGUAACUCAGCCUUAGCCUCCCGAAGGAGAGAGCUGACCAGGACCUCACUGUGUCCUCCAUUUCCCCUGUUCCUGGUGUUUUUAGGAAAGGAAGACAACAGUGGCACCGGCUUCCUCAGCAAAGACUGAUGAUAGAGAUGCUGCCAGCAGUCUUGGAGUUAGAAAGGUGAUGAUUGCAAUAAUGCUGGCCACAGGGAGGGCAGCGGAGUGCCCUGCAGGACCCUGUGGAGCCCUGAGGAGUUCAGCAGCAACUGGGCACUGGGGUCCUGAGCAGGCACCCACAGGUAUGGCAGGGAGUAGGAGCCAUCAUGCCUAUGGUCCAGGAUGAGGUGGAGGUCACGCCAAGGAGUUUGCUAACUAGUGGAAGGAAGUUGAUUGAACAUCGCAUGGAGGCUUUUGGAGGAUAGGAUUUCAUUUCCUACCCCCGAGGUGGUGGUAAUAUCUGUGUGGGUAGCAAGUGUGUGUGCCACAAGCAGGCAGACAUGCAUGUGUGAGUGUGGACAUUGAGUUGUGUGGCAUCAGGGGCAAUGGGAGGAUACAAUCUUUGGCAAAGGGAGCAAGACUUCACAUUUAGGUUAAAUAUGUGAGUAAGUGAACAUCAGUUGAUAAUCAGCUCCAUAGAUGUUUCUCCUCUACAGUGAAGCUGGGUUUCAUACACAUUUCAUUUAUGGUGAAUCACUCAAAGUGCUUGACUUAGCAGAUAAGCUAGCUCAAAAACUAAUGAGACAAUAUAGGAGAGAGAAGGGACAAAAGUACUCAUUGAAAUUUUAAAAAUUAUUUAUUUAAGAGGCAGAAAGAGACAGAGAGCCCCCAAUUGCUUGUUUACUCUGCCAGUGCCUGCAACCAAGAGACUGUAGCUGAAGCCAGAUCUUCUACCUGGGAGCGGGAGCCCAAUCACUUGAGCUCUGCUUCCCAGGGUCUGCAUUAGCAGCAAUCUGGAGUUAGGUAUUGACCCCAAGAAUACUAUUGUUGUUGCUUAAAUAUUUAUUUAUUUGAAAGGCAGAGCAACAGAGAGAAAGAGAGAGAGAGAGAGAGUCAGAGACACAGAGAGAGAUGGAUAAAGAGUUAGACAGAGAGAAAGAGAGAGACAAAUCCAUCUACUGAUGCCCUUCCUAAAUGCCCAUUGGGUUAGACGAAAGCCAAGAGCCAAGAACUCCACCUGGAUCUCCAUGUGGGUGGCAGGGGCCAAAAUACUUGGGACAUCCUUCUUACUGCCUUCCUAAGAGCCUUACUUAGCAGGAAUCUGGAUCAGAAGUGGAGUAUCCUGGACUCAAACCAGCACUCCAAUAUAGGAUGCCAGCACGGCAAGUAAUAGCCUAACCUGCUGCACCACAAUGCUGGCCUUAACCACAGGGUAUUCUAUGAUGGAGUGUGGGCAUCCUAACUGUUGUCUUAACCCUUAGGCUAAACACCCACCAGCGGUACUCAUUUUAGUAGUGUAUCUACUCUGACACCAAAUGGGGCUCCCUUGGGUCAUAUGGGUCCUCACAUGGCUCUCCCAGUGCAACACCUUGCAGCUCUGUGGAAUGCUAGCCCUUAAAGAUCUGCUUUUGGUUUUAAUAAUGCAAAGCAACCAGCUUAUCUAGAACACAAUGAAGAAUAUCAAUUUCUCUCUUUUCAUAGGAAAAUGAAAUUUCAGAAUUGUAUUUUAUGUCUCAUAUUAAGUGGAAUCCUAUAUAAGUAAUGGAUUGUAUAGUUAGAACUAUGAAUUCCAUUUUAGUGUAAGGGAAGCUUUGAUAAUCUAGGUGAUAAAAGAUUUUGUUUCAUAUGGUGACUUUAGACCCUAUCCUUGCACAACAUGUCUCCUCUGUAUGAUUCUUUUUUAUAAAUAGGAAAUCAAACACUUGCUUCCUUUGAGUGUGGUGAAUGAGUGUUGCAUUUACUAUUUUGUUUCAUACAAAGCUAAAGUGACUCCCUAAGGAGCAGGAAAGGACAGGAAGAACACUGAAAAGUGAAAAUGAAGCUUAAAUGUAGCAUCUGGGGGAAGAAAGGGUCAAAGGUUUGGAAAGCAUCCCUUGUCAAUAUCUCAAAGGGAAUAAACAGUAAUGGGUAUGGGUAGCAAUGAAAGAGACCUGCCACAAGGAAGUGAACUUGGCUACCUGUACUGAGAAGCCUAAGUCUGAUGUUAGGGCCCAGACGUGACUAUAAGCAGUUUAUCAUCUGAGCCGUCUGUGCACACCCGGACCCCUACCUACAUUUUAGCCCUCUAUGAAAAGGCAUAAGACACCCAUUAAUGCAAAGCAAUCCUGUGGCUGCUGCUUAGGAGGCACGAAUGUGCUUUUGACUCUGCCUGUGGCCUUUACUCUGCUUUUUCUGGAGCCCUCCUUGGAAUUAGCAACGCCUUUGGGGGCUUCAGGCGUGGCUGUGUUUUUUGUUAACUGAAGACAGAAGAGCCCCUGGGUAGAGAAGUCCAGCUGGGCUCUUUGCUGGGGUUCACAAGCACGUGGCCCAAUUCAAAUGAUUUGAGGGCGAGAGGAAAGCGAUGGGAAAGGGUGAGAAUCGUUCGGACAGGAACGGAACUGGAACCUGACCCAGAACAAAGCCUUCAUGAUCAGGGCAAGAAGAACGGUUGAGUAUGAGGCAGCAACUGUUCCCGGAAUCUCUCCUUAGCCUCGCUGCUGGCUGGAUCCUGCGGAAGGACAGCACUGUGGAGGCAGGGGAAAGUGCUGAUGCACAGCACUGUGGAACACGUGAGCACGCGGCUUUGCUCUAUGAUUCUUGUAGACGGGGUCAAACACUGCUUAGGCUGAAGGAGAGGAGACCGUCCAUCCAUCUGCACACCAGACCCACCUGGGGAUCCAGGCGGUUGCUAACUGGGGAGUGUCCACUCCUGGUCCUGUGGAAGUGGUAGGGCUGCCGCUGAGCUCAGGGGUCACAGGAGGCAGAGGUGCCCAAGCACUGGAGCAGCUGCGACCCUCGGAUUGUGGGGGCUCCUGCCUUUCCUGAGCUGGGAAAACAAUUCUCAGGCAGUUGGAAUGCUCUGCAGUGUAGAUUAAAGCGAACACUUUUUUGGUUUUCAGUUUUUCUGGGCUUCAAGUGAUUUCCUUACACAAAGCCUGGAAUUAUGUGACUUUAUAAAAAGUAGUUUCAGAUGCAUUACUGUAAAAUAAAUUUAUUAUUCCCUAACAUUCCAAUUUGUUUUACCUGUCAGUGAUGUAAGCCUCUUGUUGUGUGACAGAAGCUUGUGUGUCUCUUGACUUUCCCAUAGCGUUUUCUUUAGACUUUAGAAUGUUUCUGAUACAAACUAUGCUUCAAAAUAAGAAAAUACAUUGGGCGAUUCCCUGAUACUUUUCAAGAGCAGCUUAGGGAGAAAAUCAGUUUUCCAAGUUUGUUGUAUAUAAUUUCCACACAAACCUCCUAAAGCAAAAUCAAUAUGCAAUAAAAUCCUGGGCGCUGGAACUAUCGCUGUCAGUUUCUCACGGAGAAGUGUAUUAGAUCCAAUUCCCCAUUCGACUUGUGCACAUUUUGUGUCUAGAUACCCUUUUUGAAAACCCAGAAUGAAAAUGCCUGAUACUUUCUGCACAACUUAUUUCCUGUACUUUUUUUUUCUGCUUCCAGUAGAAGAUUUGCAAAGUAGCAUAAUACAUUUUUUAAAAAAGUAUUCAAGAAAGAAGGAGAGAGAGUCAAUUUACAAGAAUAAUUGACUGCUUUUCCUGAUUAUGGAAGGAGGAAAAUACAAAAAGAAGUCAGCAGGCAGGGCCCUGUUCUGUGCUAUUGACUUCUUAUCGCCAUCCUAACCUCUCUCGCAGGUUGGGUCAGGAUGCAGUUCCUCCAGUUCUGCAGGAGGCCAACCUGACCUUUGGCUGGGCUGCCUAAAGGCCGGGUGCUUCCUCCCGCCCAGGGGGCCUGGGUGCAGCCAUGCAAACGUUGCUGGUUAAUCACGGGCAGGUCCUGUCUCCUGACUUCCUGUUUACUUUCCUCCACCAUCACACUCAGAGCCUUGCUUCGAGCUUCCAGGAAUUAAUAAAGGAAAAGACAAACAGACUACUGAGAUUCUAAUUAACUUUGAUAUGGAUUUAUGUGUAAAAUUGGGCGAGUCACUGAUUUUUAAUAAAUGGGCGAGAAAACCUUAGAUUAAUGUAAUAGCUGAGAACACAGGAACCAGAACUUUGAUGCUUGCUUAAUUCUUUCUCCCAACCCAUGUCAUUUGGAGGGGAAAAAAAAAAAUCAAAGACCAUUAUGAAGGGGGAAAGGAAGAGGGAUUAUGCAAAUUAAAAGUGCACAGGACUAAAUCAUUAGUCUUGUGCAAAUGAGAUGCUCCUUCUUGUACUUUUCAGAAGUGUUUUGGGGCUAUAUUUGCAGAGGAUUCAUUCCUGAAAAUAAUGAGAAAUGGAGGCAUGAUGAAAAAGAACAUGACUAUAAAUGAGCUGAUCUUUCUAUGUAUUACAAGCAGUUCAAAAAAAAAAAAAAAAAAAAAGAAAGAAAUAACAGCACUUGGGGUCCAGCAAGAACUUGGCCUUUUUAUUUUAAUAUCCAUCUUUUAAAUGAAGCAACAGCAAUGAACUAGUGACAUGCACAUGUUGAGUUCCCCCUCUUCCACCUCUUCCAGGCACUGUGGCAGGAGUCUGGGCCAUUAUGUCUGCUUUUCCAGCUGUUCUCACUAGGGGUCUGUUCCCUCUUUCGCCCUGGAUUGGAGACUGAGCGGAGUGCAGGGUUCUGACUGCUAACAGGAGCAUCUCAGUAGUAGGGGUGGCCCUCUGGGCUCUCCAGCCUCUCAUUUUCCCAUGUGAUGGAAUGUUCCAGUGUUGAAUAGCAUCAAGGUUAAAUAAUUUAGCCUACAUCUCCCUUUUGCCUGUUUGCAGACAGCUAAUAGAGAUAAAGAUUUAUUUUGAGUGGUUGUACAGAUUAAGUAUUCAAUUUUUUUCCUAAACGAUAAACUGACAUCCUGAUAGAUUUGAAGCAAUGCACAAGGCCCUAUUUGUUUGAUUAACCUUGACUGUGGAUGCUUUUGUAGCUUAGGCAGCUGGUUUGAACAAACUUGUAAUUUCACAGCCUUACAAAAAAGUCAUUAAUCUUUUAUUGUUUUAUAAAGCAGGAACUUAGUGUGUACUUACUGAUAAUGAGGGGACAUGUGUAGGUUGACAUAAUUUAUUGAUACUUUAUUUCACACCUGAGUUCUUAUGGACAAAUGCUUAUAAAUAACAUCCUGGGAUGUACAUGUUUUCUCACCUGUAGUAUUUUUUUUUUUUUAGAAUGAAACCUCAAGAUUGUAUUGUCAUUGAGAUUUUUGAGAAAAGUAACUAAUAGUGGUUCAGAGUUUGGAGCUGAUUUCUGGCUUUGCCUAUUAUUUGUGUGCAACUUUGUGUAAGUCAUGUAACCUCUCCAAACUCAAUUUCUUAAGCUCAAAGAUGGAAACAUCAUUUGUAUACCAAAGUUGUUCUGUCUGAAAUGAAGUAAUAUGUUGGAAUUGUUUAGGCCAGUGUUUACCACAUAGUAAACUACUUAAUAGCAUAGCUGUUAUUAUUAUUCCUAGAACUCCCUGGGUUAAGUAUACAUAUAUUAAAAUAUUGAUGCAUAUUGUCAAAGUUCAUCUUGAAUUUGAGUUGUGGGAUUCAUUCAUGAACGUGCUGUAGUUAAAGGUGAUACGGAUGUGCACACAUGUAAAAGUCGGCCCUAGCAUCGACCUGUCUUGCAUACAUUCUCCCACUGUCUGCUUUUUUCCUUUGGAGAACCUCUUUUCCCUCAUUCCCAGUCUGUGCAGUUCAGUGAGGUUGACUCUAUCCUCUGACCUCAGAAGGAAGCAGGAGUACAUGAGCAAGUGUAGGAAAUCAAAAGAUCAUAUCCCUCACUUCCCCUGCACAGCAACUGGGUCGGUAAAGGCAGCGUGAUGAUCUGGGUCACUGAGAACCCACCCUUGGAUGUUAUUGACUGAUUGGGAAAGUGACCUUUUGCUGGUGUUGCUAAGCUUAGAGCUGCUCUUGACCAUCUUUGUUCCAGAAUAGAAAGAAUCUACUAGACCACGAAGUAUGGAGAAAGCCGGUGCUAAAAUACGGAGAACUUCCCGUAUGAACACUUGGAAGCAACUUGUCCGGACAUUUGAAUUGGUUCUCUUAGAAGUUGAGUGUCAUCCGUGGAGAGGGAGGUAACCAGGAGGUGGUCCAGGCACAAAAAAACAGCUCUCCCACAGCUGUACUUAGAAAGGAAAGUAUGAAAAAUAACAUUAACAGCAAUAACUUUCACCCACUCUUGUGAUUGUGCUAACAUAUCCAAAGAAGAAAUGGCUUGUUAGGAAGGGGGUUGUCUGGUAAGGAAAUCAAGAAAAAAGAAAGUCAUGGAGACAAAGUUUGGCAGUUCCCCGCAAGUACUGUUUGGAGGGGCAUGAGUCUCUGGGGCUGGUGUGAUUGGCAGAUAUGGUCUAGAGUGUUCCGGAUGGAUGCCCCAGGCUGCUUAUGCUACUUCAUAGUUUGUUCUAACUUUUUGCUCUCUGCAUUCAGCCUUCUGAUUAUAAUUUGGAUCCCCAUUUUAAUUUCUAUGUAGGAAGAGGAAUUCCUUGGGAGUAGCAGGCCCCUUUUUGUUAUCUCACAUGACAUUGUUCCUUCUGAGCUUCCAAAGGGUUGAGUCAUCAUCCCCCUGUGCUGUCCAGCCCUGCGGCACAGGCGAGACUGCCAGCCUGUCUGUGACACCCAGGGCCAGUCUCUGCCUGUUGGUAAGGCCUCAUGACAGAUAGAUGGCUGCUAUUCACAAUGACUUUUCCAUAAACUCUUCUCCUCAACUGUGCACCCUCCCUAACUCACUGCAUUCCAGGCAACCAAGAAUCCAGCAACAAGCUUUCCAGUCUGCUAGGAAGCUGUCCCACACUGCAAGAAUCAAUAGCUGGGGCAUUUUUUUUUUCACAUGGAGAAUUUGAAGGCAUCACUCAACUCCUAUUUACUUUGUUCAGUUGUGUGUGUGUGUGUGUGUGUGUGUGUGUGUUCAUAAAAGUUACUCUUAAUCAUUAUAGAAAAAAAAAUAAUGAGGAAGGAAAAAAAAAGUUAAUGCCCCUAACCAGAGGCAAGCAUAGUUCACAUUUUGGCAUAUUUUCUCUCAGGCAAUUUCAUUUUUACUUUUAAUUUAUAUGCAGUUUUAAAAGGUUCAUUAUCUGGUUCCCAAUUCCACUGUAGAUUAGAACUGGCAAUUUAGAGAAAGGGAAGAGAAAGAAAAGUCGUAAAAAGUAGAACAAUUUGUUAAAAUGCAUAGUGUUCUGGAGGCAUUUAUUUAAUGGGCCACAACCAUGCACAGCUCAGUAACUCCUGGGGUCAGUCACUGUAUUAUAAUUGUUACAGUAAUAAGUGUAUAUCUUGAUGACCUCAAAUCAUCAUUAAAUGAUUAAAUUAUGUCUGGUAUACUGUUGGAAGUUAGAGACAUAGAGAAUAUACUUUUUUUAUUUUUUUUAUUUUUUAUUUACUUUUUGACAGAGUGGACAGUGAGAGAGAGAGACAGAGAGAAAGGUCUUCCUUUGCCAUUGGUUCACCCUCCAAUGGCCGCCAUGGCUGGCACACUGUGGCCAGCGCACCACGCUGAUCUGAUGGCAGGAGCCAGGUACUUAUCCUGGUCUCCCAUGGGGUGCAGGGCCCAAGUACUUGGGCCAUCCUCCACUGCACUCCCUGGCCACAGCAGAGAGCUGGCCUGGAAGAGGGGCAACCAGGACAGAAUCCAGCGCCCCGACCGGGUGUGCCGGCGCCGCUAGGUAGAGGAUUAGCCUGGAACCCGCAAGGCGGAGGAUUAGCCUAGUGAGCCGCGGCGCCAGCCCGAGAAUAUACUUUUGAACUAUAUCAUUGAAGCUGGUUCAAAUGCAUUUGAAGUAAACUAGCUGUCUGCAAUAUAGAUAAAGGGACUACAAAAACUUUAUGGAAAAAUGGAAUGAAAAGAUAAGUUUAUUCUGGUGCAAAAAAAAAAAAAAAAAAACAAGAAAUCCAUGGAUAGCUUUUUCAUAAUAUGUGUUGUCCAGGAUCUUUGUGAAUACCCUUGAUAGACUUCUUCUUUUUCUCUAGGUUCCACAUCCAUUCUAUGCUCUCCCACUUUGGAGCAGCCAUGCUGUUGAUGGUAUUGACCACACCUUUUGUUCCAAACAAAGGCUUGCCUUGUCCUAACCUGGCUAAUCAUGCUAAUCAGUUCUCCAUGUGAAUUGCUUAAGUAGCUGACUCAAGAAUGAGCUUGUAGCCAUGCCCUACAGCAAGAGCUCAUAGCAUUUCUCUGACUACAGAGAUGACCCAGAGGCUCAAGUGAACCAGCUUUUCCUUUUUGCUCCGUCCAUAUGUGAAAAUGCAGCAAGACGCACCAUCUUGGAAGCAGAAAGUAUUCACCCGAAAAUUGAACUUUGCAGCAUCUCUGUUAUGGCCCAGCUUCUAGAACUGCCACUGGAUCUUCCAAUGAUUGACAGCCCUGGUGAAUCCAUCCACCAACCAUGAGGACACUCAAGGAGCCCUGUGGAAAGAGAGGACCCCCUGCAACAACCAGCACUGACUGCCGCUAAGUGAAUGAAUUGCAUUGAAAAUGAAUCCUUGGUGCCGGUUCUGUGGUGCAGCGGGUUAACGCUUUGGCCUGAAGCACCGGCCUCCCAUAUGGGCUCUGGUUCUAGUCCUGGCUGCUCCACUUCCGAUCCAGCUCUCUGCUACGGCCUGGGAAAGCAGUAGAAGAUGGCUCAAGUCCUUGGGCUCCUGCACCCAUGUGGGAGACCCAGAGGAAGCUCCUGAAACUUUUAAAAAAAUAAUUGCGUGUUGGAGUUUCCUUUUCCCUACAGAAUCUCAUUGAGUUGACUUAAGGUGGGACUCAGACACCCAUAGCUUAAAAAAAAAAAAAUCCCUAGAUGAUUUUAUUAUGUAGCUAGAGUUGAGAAGCAACUAACACCUUACAGUAUUAUCUUGGGGAAAUUUGAAGCUGAGAGACUUCAGCUUUAUAGGAAAGGAAUGGAGUUCUGACAAGUGUGAUUGCAGGAGUGGGUGGGCGUGGAAGUCCCCAGGAAUCAUGCUAAGGGAGGUCUAGCACAGUGCUGGGAGAGGAGGUGGAGAGAGGAGGUGCUCGAGAGGGGCAUGGAUGAAUCUGUACCAGGCAGAUGCCCUGUGGUCUGCCUCUGCACGUCCUAAAGGCAGCCUCAGUACCAAGGGGAGGUGGCCUGUGGGGACCCCUGAGAGACUGCCUUAAUCCGAUGCACAGACGUCGCAUUGGUUGUUUCCAACUGUGAGAAAAGGGAGGGAGGCGGUCUGGCUGGGAAGAUGGUGUGAAUCCAAAUGUAGAUGAAACCUAAAUAUGCCUUGCAUGCAUACACAUUGAUUUUCCCCCAAAAGUAUAUUGAUAUCAUCACAGUGAACGAAACACACAUUUUCCUUUAAAACAUAGUAUUGAAUUCACAGCAGCCUGUUAUUUUGUAUUUUCUUGUUCAAUAAAAACAAAAACUACAAUUAUUGA